UUUUACCCUACUAUGAGCUGUUCCUUAAUUUACAUUAGCACUCCUUCAGGAGCAUAAUACAAUUAAACACAUUAACCAAAGCUAGCACUUAGCUAGCUAUUAGCGCACGGCUAGCGAUUGGCGCUAAGCUAGCGAUUAGCGCACAGCUAGCGAUUAGCGCACAGCUAGCCAUUAGCGGUUAGCUAGCGAUUAGCGCUUAGCUAGCGAUUAGCGGUUAGCAAGCGAUUCGCACGUAGCUAGCAAUUAGGUCUUAGCUAGCGAUUAGCACAUAGCUAAGUGCUACCUUUGGUUAAUGUGUUUAUGUGUGCUAGCUCUAGCUAGCUAGCUAAAGAGAAUGACAUGAUAUUAAUAUGCUAGUGCUAGCUAAGGAGGAUGACCGGUUAUCAAUAUGCUAUAGGGAGGAUUACAUGGCAUUAAUAAUCUAGCGCUAGCUGGCUAGCUAAAGAUAAUUAGAAGGUGGCUAACAAGCAAACAAUUUAAAGCUGAAUGAUUUUAAUAUUAACACAAAAUAAGUUCAAUACAUCUUAAAUAUUUUACCCUACUAUGAGCUGUUCCUUAAUUUACAUUAGCACUCCUUCAGGAGAAUAAUACAAUUAAACACAUUAACCAAAGCUAGCACUCAGCUAGCGAUUAGCGCUUAGCUAGCGAUUAGCAUGUAGCUAGCGAUUAGCGGUUAGCUAGCGAUUAGCAUGUAACUAGCGAUUAGCACGUAGCUAGCGAUUAGCACGUAGCUAAGCACUAGCUUUGGUUUAUGUGUUUAUAUGUGCUAGCUUUAGCUAGCUAGCUAAAGACAAUGACAUGAUAUUAAUAUGCUAGCGCUAGCUAAGGAGGAUGACAGGUUAUCAAUAUGCUAUAGGGAGGAUUACAUGGCAUUAAUAAGCUAGCGCUAGCUGGCUAGCUAAAGAUAAUUAGCAGGUGGCUAACAAGCAAACAAUUUAAAGCUGAAUGAUUUUAAUAUUAACACAAAAUAAGAACAAUACACCUUAAAUAUUUUACCCUACUAUGAGCUGUUCCUUAAUUUACAUUAGCACUCCUUCAGGAGCAUAAUACAAUUAAACACAUUAACCAAAGCUAGCACUUAGCUAGCGAUUAGCGGUUAGCACUUAGCUAGCGAUUAGCGCUUAGCUAGCGAUUAGAAUGUAUCUAGCGAUUAGCGGUUAGCUAGCGAUUAGCGGUUAGCUAG